rnacentral:rRNA from 1 species
GUCCACGCCGUAAACGGUGGGCACUAGGUGUGGGGACCAUUCCACGGUCUCUGCGCCGCAGCUAACGCAUUAAGUGCCCCGCCUGGGGAGUACGGCCGCAAGGCUAAAACUCAAAGGAAUUGACGGGGGCCCCGCACAAGCGGCGGAGCAUGCGGCUUAAUUCGAUGCAACGCGAAGAACCUUACCUAGGCUUGACAUGCAGGGAAAACUGGCAGAGAUGCCAGGUCCUUACGGGCUUUGCACAGGUGGUGCAUGGCUGUCGU